rnacentral:rRNA from 1 species
GGGCCCGCACAAGCGGUGGAGUAUGUGGUUUAAUUCGAUGCAACGCGAAGAACCUUACCAGGGCUUAAAUGUUAGGUGACAGAUCUAGAAAUAGAUUUUUCUUCGGACACUUAACAAGGUGCUGCAUGGUUGUCGUCAGCUCGUGCCGUGAGGUGUCAGGUUAAGUCCUAUAACGAGCGCAACCCCUGUUGUUAGUUGCCAGCGAGUAAUGUCGGGAACUCUAGCAAGACUGCCAGUGCAAACUGUGAGGAAGGUGGGGAUGACGUCAAAUCAUCACGGCCCUUACGUCCUGGGCUACACACGUGCUACAAUGGUAGGUACAGAGAGCAGCCAAUGCGCGAGCAUGAGCAAAUCUAUAAAACCUAUCUCAGUUCGGAUCGGAGUCUGCAACUCGACUCCGUGAAGCUGGAAUCGCUAG